GAACUGUCCCACCGGUGAGGCGCAGAGCCAAGGGGAACUACCAUAGACUGCAUCUGGAGUCAACGAUAAACGCCAACUGGCCUCAUCGUAUGAAGAUAUAAUUCUAAAUAUUUGGACCAGACUUUCUUGCGCCCCUGCCUCUGAGGAACUGAGUGCUGGCAUAGUUCCACUGAAAAAAAAAACACCCAUUUACAAGAGAGGAUAUCAGAAAUAUACAUCCUUUCAUCCGUGCCCCACAGGCUACAUGGAAAGAGAGAGCACCAGCUGUUUUUCUCAUGGAAAUAGUGUAAGAAGAGUUUGGAAGCAUGUGUGAUGUGAAUCUCAUCAGAUUCAGAAAGAAGUUUAUAAUAAGUUAGCAUUGAGAAGAAAAUAAAUUGCUUUUAUUGUAUAAGGGAACCAUGUUAUAAAAGCUAAAACCAUUGAGUAACGUAUGUGAUAACUUUGAAAUAAUGUUUUCCAACUCUGAUACCCUUCAAUUUGGCUAGAAUAAUGUUAUACCUUUUUAAAGUUUAUAUUAUGAUGUUCCAUUCUCUUUCUGACCUUGGGUUAAUUAACCCAUCAAAAGUCAUAUGGACUGAUUUCCUUCAAUGUACUAUAAUGUAUUUUUAUCCAUCUGCAUGCUAUUAUGUAACCUCAGAAUAAAGAAGCCAUAUCGCUGUUGAUAUAUUCCAC